rnacentral:lncRNA from 1 species
CGCCCCUCUCCCGCCCACUGCGGCCCGCCCAGGGCCCGCCCGGGGCCGGCUCCGCAGCGGCGGCCGGAGCUGCAGCCGCCGCCCGCCCGUCGCAGCGCCGGCGCUGCCGCGGUGCCCGGCAGGGAAGAUGGCGCCGUCCCACGUCCUCAAGUGCUGCCAGAAGGUGCUGGCCUGGGUGCCCGUGGCCUUCAUCGCCCUGGUCGUGGCCUGGUCCUACUACGCCUACGUGGUGGAGCUGUGUGUGUGUGCCUCAUGGCGGCGGGGUCCCGGCCCGGAGCCGCCUGUGGAAACGCGGGGAACGGGUUCGGAGGAAAGGAAGGAGGCCCAGGGUGCUUCGUCUGGGGAGAGGGACUUCUCGAGGGCUCAGCCCCUCGUGUCUCCUCGUGAGGAGUUUUCCCUCUAUUUUACUGUUGUUCAUCCGUCUGAUGUGUCAAAUAAUUCCUUAAGGGUGUAUAGGGGGUUCCCAUCCCUCCUCCUCAUUCAGAAGCCGGGUGCCGUUGAAGCAUUAUGAGGCUGGAAGCAUCCAACUUAAGCGGGCUGGGGAAAGGAUUUAGGGCUUACGGGGCUUCGUCAGGCCGUAUCCAGGCUUUCUGGACGAGGAUUCGUCUUUGUAUAAAUCUGACUUGCAGCCGAUGUCGGUCAGGGUGAUGUUUACCCUUUACUGUCUCCAGGAGGAAAGUUCAGUUCAGGAGGCUUUUGGCUUUCUCUGGGCAGGGUGAAUGAGGGGAACUGUGAUCUGCAGUAUUUAUCAGAAUUGCUGAAACUUGGAAGCAGCAUAGGAAAACUAAGGAAUGGGUUAUUGAGCGUUUGGUGUGUUUAAGUAAGGAAGCUGAAAUGAAGAACCUCCAAAGUACUAAGAACUAUUUUAAGGCAUAUAUAGGUCUGUCUAGUCUCUGUAGGUCCUGGUACUACUUGUUAUUUGUGUAAACUACAUGCUUUGAUAUCCCUAGCUAAAAAAAAAAAAAAAAUGUUUGCAUGUACUUUAUAUCUGGGUAAACUGGUAUAGGCAGCCUUCCAUUAGCCAUUAUCAGUUCGGUUUUUUCUGUGAUGACUUGGUAUUUUGAAUAACUUUUCUGUAUUCUGAUGUUACUUCACAGCCUUUUGUAUUUGUACAUCAGGACCGGCACAUGAACCGCUGGCAAAAAUGUUAUUUGAACUUUAAAUAAUUGAGACAUAGCUGUAAAAUAAUGCUUGUUGAGGUACUACGUGAAAUGUUGACACGAUGCAGUUGCAAAUAUGUCAGUGUAUCCAAACUUGCCAAAUUACUGUUGUUCAGUUGUCUAUGUGAAUAAAUAAGUUUUCUGGGAAAUCAUGCUUAAAACUGCGAACGUUUGAAAACGAAUCUGAGUCAGUCUACUGGAGGUCUGGCACAUGGGUUGCUGUAACAGCAGUCCUGAAAGGGGCUGUGUGAGGUUAUAGACUCACAUCUUACAAGUUUUCUGUACUCCCUACAGUCUAAUUAAUACGACAAAAGGCAGAUUAGGGCUAUUCUUAAACAAAGAACAAAACCUCAGGGAUUAAGAGACUUGCCGAGGGUCGCACAGGUGGUCUCUGCUUGAAUUGGGAACAGAGCCUCAAGCUCUGAGUCCCAGCUUGGUGUCUUGAUCACAGAGUGGGUCUGGACUAGGUGCUGGUGCAUGAUUUCUCUAUCGUGGACAUAGAGAAGCUGCAAAGAGCUCUGCUGAGUUCAUUAAGGUUUCGUUUGUGUGAAAAUUAUUGAGA